rnacentral:rRNA from 1 species
UCGUCGCGACUGCGGAGGACAUUAUCGAGUUUUGAAGAGGUUGUAGCUGGCCUUUCGGGGCAUGUGCACGCCUCGCUCAUUCCAACUCCAACACCUGUGAACUAGCUGUAGGUCGGUUUUGAAGCAGGUCCUCGCGGAUCGGCUUUGGGCCUUCCUAUGUCUUUAACAAACUCUUGUCGUAUCAGAAUGUAUUCGCGCUUUAUAAACGCAUCAAUAUAACUUUCAGCAACGGAUCUCUUGGCUCUCGCAUCGAUGAAGAACGCAGCGAAAUGCGAUAAGUAAUGUGAAUUGCAGAAUUCAGUGAAUCAUCGAAUCUUUGAACGCAUCUUGCGCCCUUUGGUAUUCCGAAGGGCAUGCCCGUUUGAGUGUCAUUGUAUUCUCAAAUCUCUUCACUUUGUUGAAGCUGAUUUGGAUUUGGGGGUCUGCGGGUGAACUAGUUUGUCCGCUCCCCUUGAAUGCAUUAGCUGGAACCUUUUGCUAGACCGGCUUCGGUGUGAUAAUUAUCUGCGCCGUGGUCGUAUAGCGACUUUGUAGAGGAUCCGCUUCCAACCGUCUUCGGACAAUUUUAUGACAUCUGACCUCAAAUCGGGUAGGACUACCCGCUGAACUUAAGCAUAUCAAAAGCCGGGAGGAA